ensembl:lncRNA
GGAACACAGCAAAGGAGAGCUUGCUAAUCAUUCCUGCCAACAUGUAGAGGACAGGGGGCCCAACACAGAAACAGUUUCAUUCCCAUCAAAUCUCCAUGAAAUGAGAAAGUGGGUUCUUCAAAAAACCUUUCUCAUUUCACAAAUGUGUAGUAUUUUCCAUCUUCUCUUUCUGGACUUGCAGAACUCCUAACAGAACACUAUUUCAAGAGUCGAGAGAGGGAGAUAACACUUCUCAUCUACGGCUUCCAAGGGUCCCUUUCAUUAUCUACAGAAAUAAGCCUCUGCAUGACAGAAGAGGACUUGUUAACAUUACUGAGAGCUGCUUUAACUACCGGUAUGGAUACUGCUGUUACUGACCAACUGUGAGGAUAAAAAAUGCCUCAGUUAAGGGAUUAUAUCUGCUGUUCUAACCACAGGACGGAGCUGUUUAUUGGUUGUAUUCACUUGCUUGCCUGCCUUUGCUCAAAGACUUUUUUAUGUGAAGAUAAGGAUCCUCUUUGAUCUCUUGCUACAUCCUUGGGGGCAUAAGACAUCAUUUUCUCUGUGGAGCCACCCUGGAGUGGAAGAAAGAAAAUGUGAUGUAGUAAAUAGCCAAGAGAUUUCAUCUCUGCCAUGAAGCAUAACAGAUUGACUACAGCCGGAUCAAUGGUACUGAAGCAAAUGGCUGUCUGAAGGACUCCAAACUCUAGAACAUGGUUGUCCAUCCUUUUGGCUUUCCUAGGCCACACUGAUCAAGUGUGUCUCGGGUUGCAUAUAAAAUAUACAAUAUAGUUAAUAUAUACACAUAACAAAACAGAAAGAAGGCAACAAAAGCAUAAAACUAGUGGGUUAGAUUUGUAUACUGUAGAGCAACCCUUCCCAUGAUUAGGUGGUAUUCCUGCUCAUAUAUGAACAUAUAAGAUGACAGGAAGGAAUUUCUUCAAAAUCUCCUUCAAACUUGCUUCUCUUCGACUAUAUCAGAGUUGUGCUUUGAGAGCUACCCCCCAG